rnacentral:rRNA from 1 species
CCUACGGGUGGCAGCAGUGAGGAAUAUUGGUCAAUGGACGAGAGUCUGAACCAGCCAAGUAGCGUGAAGGAUGACUGCCCUAUGGGUUGUAAACUUCUUUUAUAUGGGAAUAAAAUGUUCCACGUGUGGGAUUUUGUAUGUACCAUAUGAAUAAGGAUCGGCUAACUCCGUGCCAGCAGCCGCGGUAAUACGGCGGAUCCGAGCGUUAUCCGGAUUUAUUGGGUUUAAAGGGAGCGUAGGUGGAUUGUUAAGUCAGUUGUGAAAGUUUGCGGCUCAACCGUAAAAUUGCAGUUGAAACUGGCAGUCUUGAGUACAGUAGAGGUGGGCGGAAGUCGUGGUGUAGCGGUGAAAGGCUUAGAUAUCACGAAGAACUCCGAUUGCGAAGGCAGCUCACUGGACUGCAACUGACACUGAGGCUCGAAAGUGGGGGUAUCAAACAGGAUUAGAUACCCCAGUAGUC